AACGCACAUUGCGCCCUGUGGUAUUCCGCAGGGCAUGCCUGUUCGAGCGUCAUUUCAACCCUCAAGCUCUGCUUGGUGUUAGGCCAUGCCCUCGUGGCCGGCCCCAAAGCCAGUGGCGGUGCCGUCCGGCUCUAAGCGUAGUACAUCUCUCGCUCUAGGGUCCGGCGGUUGCCUGCCAGAACACAAACUCUUAUGGUUGACCUCGGAUCAGGUAGGGAUACCCGCUGAACUUAA
rnacentral:misc_RNA from 1 species